UUGAAGGUAUAUAUAUAGGAAAAUCCGAGCAUUUAUUGCGGGCGGAAAACGAAGCGAAUGCCUCAGAAAUCGAGGGAAUAAAUGCUUUGACUGAACCGGACCGGAUGAAGGAAGAGACUGGAGUAGGAGAGAUCGGAAAAGAGGAGCUCGACAUAAGAGAUCGGAAAAGCAUCAUGUUGGAAAGACCGGAAAGGAGGGGAGAUCGGAAAACAAAGAGAAUAAGACGCCUACCGCUGUCGUCAUAAUUA
rnacentral:misc_RNA from 1 species